UGUCAAAAAUKAUUUUGCUUUAGAAGCUGUUUGUAAURUAAAAGAUUUCARUAAUUUUCAWAUAAGCCUUAAAAUCGAAGAUAUGAUUCAAUGGAACUCGGAAAAAUGAAUUUAUAUUUCUACAGUUAAUGUUAAACUGUUUGUCCGGCAUCACUAUUAAACUUAUUCAAGUSGAGUUGCAAUGAAGUGUUGCUAGGAAACGGAAACGAACAACAAAAGCCGGCUAGUUGGAUAUUCACUUUGCAAAUUAAUUGACCAUUUAUAUUUAAUAAAACUUUAAUUUGUUUAAAAAAGUAACUGAAACAUGUCGAAAGGUGUCAUUUGCUUUGACAUAUCGAAAAAUGAACGUUUCCAGUUAUCGGAUAACUAUAAAAUGCUGCAUCGCAAACUGAAAGUAAAUUGGAAGGUUGAACAGAGCGAUGGCGAGCUGAAGAAAGAACGGCUGCAGCGUGUGGGCAUCUUUGUUCUGGCCGGACCGCAGGAUCGCUUCACCGAGGAAGAGUUUCAAGUGUUGAAGGAAUUUGUGGAAAAGGGUGGCAAAUUGUGGGUGUUGCUUGGCGAAGGUGGCGAACAGGAAUUCAAUACAAAUGUGAAUUUCUUUCUAGAACAAUAUGGCAUAUACAUAAAUAGCGACACCGUUGUGCGCCCACAUUACUACAAAAAUUUCCAUCCUAAGGAGUGCAUUAUCGGCGGUGGUGUGGUUUGCGAGUCGAUGUGGCGGCAUUUGAUCAAGCAAGAUAUCGAAGUGGUCGAUUAUGAUUUUAGCGAUGAAAAAUACAAAAUACACUUUCAAUAUCCAUAUGGCGCGACGCUAAAUGUCUCAGAACCGGCGAAUGUGCUACUAAGCACUGGACCGGUUGUAUAUCCCUUUAAUCGACCACUAGCUGGUUACUACGUCAACGAGCAUGGCGGCAAGAUACUCGCCAUUGGCUCUGGCUACAUGUUGCACGAUAAGUAUUUGCAGAGCGAUAAGACUAACGACGCGCUAUUGGAAUAUUUUAUACAACUUUUAGGCGGCAAUGAAAUACAAUAUUCGCAUUUGGACUUCAACGAUGUGGAGAUAAACGACAACAAAACAUUCACCGAUAUCGCCUUCAUUGCCGACUUGCCGAAAGCUUGUCUGAUCGACUCCAUUGGCGGCACCGAAACACCCGCCGAUUUCAAACAAAUGUUCGACAUGACAAUCUACUCGUUAAGUAAUCGUUUGCUGAAGGAUGUAAUGACGACAUACGAACAAUUGAAUGUCAAAUAUGAACCCUUAAAAAUAAUUAAGCCGCAAUUUGAGAUUCCAUUGCCGCCAUUACAGUUAGCGACUUUCCCACCCAUCUUUAGUGAGCCUGCCGCCCCACCACUCGAGCUCUUCGACUUGGACGAGGUGUUCAGCGCUGCGCGCACACAACUGGCCAAUAUGACCAGCAAGUGUGUGCAGUCCAUUACAGCGAAGGAUGCCAGUAAGCCACUAAAUACACGUGAAUUGGAGAAUUACAUCAAAGAGUGUGCGCGCAUUACGGGCAUCAUACACGAGCACCAAGAUGUGCAAGCGCGUGAGAUACUCAACAUACUGGCGCGCCAGAUCGUAAACUACAAACCGUACGCGGAUGAGUAGUGGAUGCGUCAGCCGAAACCGGAGUGGAGUUKCUUCUGUUGCACAAUGUUGCGAAAGGAAUUAGAAUGCAAAAAUGAUACUAUUAAAGGUUUUAAUUGAAAAAUAUGCAAAUUGCAGCAACAUUGUACACAUACAUAUAAACAGUCUUAUUUUUUGCACUCACAUUGGAAGGAGCGGCGCUAAACAAUAUUUCAUUUUGCUCUCAGCUCAAUUCACAGUUCAUAUGGACCAGUCCGCAUCAAAUUUGAUCAGAUGGAUAUACUAAUGGAAUUUAA